UCGCGCCUUUAUUUGAAUCCGAGUAACACUUGGCACGAGUCUACCUGCCCAUAAUCUAUAUAUUCUCUAUUAGUGGAUUACACAUUUCUCUUUCACCUCUUAGGAAAACCUGUCUAAAACGGAAAAGUUCUUCAGAACGGAGCCAUUUUCUGUGUUUAAAAAACCUGUUCAAGACAGAAACCCCUCACAAGCCGGAAAAAAUCAACAAUACCAUGCGAUUUCUAUACUAUAUAGCCUAUAGUUUAUUCUCAUCUUUUCAUUGGUCAAGUUUAGUUUGAAUAUUCUUCGUCGUGUAUAUCAGCUUAAUUAGGCUUUCAUAGAGAAAACAAGAAAAUAAAAUUAUGUUGCCAAAUUCCUGGAGCCAAUAUUAGGAUGGAUGGAUUGCUCGUGACAGCUCAAAAAUAUAGAAGUUUAUAUUGAGAGAUAAUUGGAAUAAAAAUGUUAUUAAUUUAUAUAGAUUUUAACUUUAUCUUUUUUCUAAAUUUAUUAAUAAUUUAGGUUUUGAACACUGAUGUGGAGUCCUCUAAAGCUUAGACAGGAGUAUUUCUUGUAAUAUUAGUUAUGAUAUUCUAGACACACUUGAAAGUGCUUGACUUACACAAUAUAUAACAAGAAAUAUUUUCUUUAGAAAAGGAAAAUUUAUUUUAUGAGUUGUUAUAUCUUAUUUAAAAACUUUCAUUUUUGAAGUAAUUAAGCAGAGUUGCUGG